rnacentral:lncRNA from 1 species
GAGGACUCAACUCAGGAGAGUCAACAAUUUACUCUCAACCGAGGCCCUUGGAUGUGUUGAUUGAGUAGUCAACAUGAUGGGAUAGUGGUCGCUUGAUCAAAUUGAAGGGAGAAGUAAGUUGAAUGAAAUGUUGAGAUGUGGAGUCAAACGCAAGUCUAUGGUGGGAGAACACCCAUGUGAAUGGUCAAAGACUGACCAUCUGAAGGACCAGAGGGCGCCACAUGUUUGUGAUCAACGGAGGAAAAAAGAGGCAUAUAAGUGCACCUCCUUCAGAAAUGGAUCAUUAUCAUUUUUCUUUCUCUCUCUUAACCUCCUUAUUCUCUCUACUCUCUCUACUUCACUCUCUACUCUCUCCCUCUAACACUUCUCCUGCCACCACCCUUAACCCUUAGCCACUGGACCAGACACCGUGUUGGCUAUCACUUUCAACCAAACCUAUGAACCCUAACUUCGAAUGCUAAGAACCCUAUCCAAAACCCAGAAGAACCCUAACCCUACAUAAUAUAAACCCUACAUAAUUAUUUACUUUGCUUGUGUUCUUUGUGAUGACUCACUCUCGUUUUUGUGUUUGCAAGGUACUGGUGAUGGCUAGUAGGAAUGGUUGGAGGCUUAAGGUUUAGCAAGAUUUUUCUUCAGAUAAUGAAGAAAACUCUUUAGGUUUUCUUUUUUUGUAAAACGAAUUCGAUUUGUUUGUAAACCUAAGUUUUCUUUUAUAUUGUAAAAAUUAGGUCUAACUUUUAAUUUUAUUUGUUUAGUUUAGGAAAAAUCUGAUUAGGGAUUGAUUCAGAUUUGUAUUUUUGAGCAAGUUCAAUUCUAACAGCAAAUUAGUGAUAAUGAAAAGAGAUUUUUGUUUUGUUUUGUUUUGGUCCUUAGAUCCAUUUCGAUCUUUCAUUGACGCAUAUUUUUUGGUAUUGGAAGCUUGGUGCACUAUAUUGACAAUUGACCUAGGCUAAUGAUAA